rnacentral:rRNA from 1 species
GCAUUCACUUUAAAUAGGGCUCCGUCGAAAUCCGUUGAAACGACACCGCAUGAAUUAUGGUUUGGGAAGAAACCUAAGCUAUCGUUUCUGAAAGUUUGGGGAUGCGAUGCUUAUGUCAAGAAACUUCAACCUGAAAAGCUCGAACCCAAGUCGGAAAAAUGCGUCUUCAUAGGAUACCCUAAGGAAACUAUUGGCUAUACCUUCUACCUCAGAUCCAAAGGCAAGAUCUUUGUUGCCAAGAAUGGAUCCUUUCUGGAGAAAGAGUUUCUCUCGAAAGAAGUAAGUGGGAGGAAAGUAGAACUUGAUGAGGUACUGCCUCUUGAACCGGAGAGUGGCGCAGCUCAGGAAGAUGUUUCUGUGGUGCCUGCAUCGACUAGAGAGGAAGUUAAU